rnacentral:piRNA from 1 species
UGUGACUUCGGUGAGGACUGACCCUCUAC